GCCUAGAACCCAAGGGUAGCUCUCCUUCUUUUCUCUUGAUUCAAACAGAAAGAAGAAAGAUAAUUCUCCCUUGAAGAUUUUUUGUAUCGUGUUCCCUUGACAGAUUUGAAUCGGCAGUUAAGAAAGUGUUCUUUACAUGAGAAUUCGUUUGUGAUUUGCUGUCAUGAAGAACUAGACUCUAAUUUAGGAACGUCGGGCCUUAGUGGCACCCCAUCACCUCGGUGGCUACCCGGAAGAUCGUUGCGGCAACGAUGGCUGGUAACCAGAACUACCCACGGUGGCACUGGCCAUGAAUAGUAGAGUAAAUUUAUUUACAGCUCUGAAUCUUGUUUAUACGGUAUUUGCAUGAGUAUUUCUUUCUCUACUUAAUUAUUGUUGGUGCUCCUUGCUUACACAUUUAUAUUUGAUGAUCAACUUGUUUAGUUUGAUUUACAUUUUGAUUGCUUUACUAUCAGUACAUUAUUUCGUAACCUCUAAUGGGCAUUCUCUCACCCCGUUUUGUUUUGUUUUCCCCCAUAGACUACGAAGCGAGGUUGAGGCAGUAAGCUUGGAAAGAGCUUACGACAAGAAAAUUUUAGCAAAACUGGUAUUUUUGCUUGUGUCUAUAAUAUGUAUAUCACGGGGAUUGUCUGGGUAGUUUGUUUCCUUUGAUCCCAUGCCAUUUUUGUUGCAUUUUGUUGUUAUAAAAAGGGUUGGGAUCUUGACAUAGUUUGUAACUGAAAACUUGUGGAUUUCGUAAACAUUGGGUCUGGUCUUGGGUAUUGCAUUA